CAGCCGCCGCGGGAAUACGAAGGGUGCAAGCGUUAAUCGGAAUUACUGGGCGUAAAGGGCGCGUAGGCGGUUUGACAAGUCUGAUGUGAAAUCUCUGGGCUCAACCCAGAGUCUGCAUCGGAAACUGUCGAGCUUGAGUAUGGGAGAGGUGAGUGGAAUUUCCGGUGUAGCGGUGAAAUGCGUAGACAUCGGAAGGAACACCUGUGGCGAAAGCGGCUCACUGGACCAUUACUGACGCUGAGGCGCGAAAGCUAGGGGAGCAAACAGGAUUAGAUACCCCAGUAGUCCCUGUCUCUUAUAC
rnacentral:rRNA from 1 species